rnacentral:miRNA from 2 species
UGGAGCUCAUUGCAGGACUGGG